UACGAAGGGGGCUAGCGUUGUUCGGAAUUACUGGGCGUAAAGCGCGCGCAGGCGGUUUUCCAAGUCAGUGGUGAAAGCCCGGAGCUCAACUCCGGAACUGCCAUUGAAACUGUUUAGCUUGAGGACGAGAGAGGUGAGUGGAAUUCCCAGUGUAGAGGUGAAAUUCGUAGAUAUUCGGAAGAACACCAGUGGCGAAGGCGACUCGCUGGACAAGUAUUGACGCUGAGGUGCGAAAGCGUGGGGAGCAAACAGG
rnacentral:rRNA from 1 species